rnacentral:rRNA from 1 species
GACGAACGCUGGCGGCGUGCUUAACACAUGCAAGUCGAACGGAAAGGCCCUGCUUGCUGGGUCCUCGAGUGGCGAACGGGUGAGUAACACGUGUGUGAUCUGCCCUGCACUUCGGGAUAAGCCUUGGUAACUGGGUCUAAUACCGGACAGGAGCUAUUUUUAGUGUGAUUGUUGGAAAGUUUUUUUGGUGUAGGAUGAGCUGGCGGCCUAUCAGCUUGUUUGUGGGGUAAUGGCCUACCAAGGCGGCGACGGGUAGCCGGCCUGAGAGGGUGGACGGCCACACUGGGACUGGGAUACGGCCCAGCCUCCAACGGGAGGCAGCGGUGGAGAAUAUUGCACAAUGGGCGGAAGCCUGAUGCAGCGACGCCGCGUGGGGGAUGACGGGCUUCGGGUUGUAAACUCCUUUCGCUAGGGACGAAGCUUUUUGUAACGUUACCGAAGUAAGAGGCACCGGCUAACUACGU